rnacentral:rRNA from 1 species
GACGAACGCUGGCGGCGUGCUUAACACAUGCAAGUCGAACGGAAAGGCCCUGCUUUUGUGGGGUGCUCGAGUGGCGAACGGGUGAGUAACACGUGAGUAACCUGCCCUUGACUUUGGGAUAACUUCAGGAAACUGGGGCUAAUACCGGAUAGGAGCUCCUGCUGCAUGGUGGGGGUUGGAAAGUUUCGGCGGUUGGGGAUGGACUCGCGGCUUAUCAGCUUGUUGGUGGGGUAGUGGCUUACCAAGGCUUUGACGGGUAGCCGGCCUGAGAGGGUGACCGGCCACAUUGGGACUGAGAUACGGCCCAGACGCCUACGGGAGGCAGCAGUGGGGAAUAUUGCACAAUGGGCGGAAGCCUGAUGCAGCAACGCCGCGUGCGAGAUGACGGCCUUCGGGUUGUAAACAGCUUUCGCCUGUGACGAAGCGUGAGUGACGGUAAUGGGUAAAGAAGCACCGGCUAACUACGUG